rnacentral:misc_RNA from 1 species
AACGCAACUUGCGCCAUGUAUAUGGCAUGUCUGUUUGAGUGCCGCUAAAUCGAUGCAUUAAUGCGUAUUGACGGUUGUCAGCUGGGGACUCUGUCUAAAUGCAGCCAGCAAUGGUCGUGGAUGUGACAGUCCGAGUGCUAAGCAUUCUUGGUCUGAUCACAACUGCGGCCGAGGGUGGGCUAGUGGUGGAUGAUUGUGUGCAAACCGUAUCAUCACCCCCUAUCCCCUCCCCUACCUACUAUUGGCCUCAAAUCAGGCAGGAUCACCCGCUGAACUUAA